GCCCUGGUAGUAUAACUCAUUACUUUGGUCUUGUAAACCAAAAAUGAAGCCCGCAUGCUUCCCAGGACA
rnacentral:tRNA from 1 species